rnacentral:rRNA from 3 species
UAAGCGCCGGUAAGGUGAUAUGAACCGUUAUAACCGGCGAUACCCGAAUGGGGAAACCCAGUGUGACUCGUCACACUAUCAUUAACUGAAUCCAUAGGUUAAUGAGGCGAACCGGGGGAACUGAAACAUCUAAGUACCCCGAGGAAAAGAAAUCAACCGAGAUUCCCCCAGUAGCGGCGAGCGAACGGGGAGGAGCCCAGAGCCUGAAUCAGCAUGUGUGUUAGUGGAAGCGUCUGGAAAGGCGCGCGAUACAGGGUGACAGCCCCGUACACAAAAGCGCAUGUGCUGUGAGCUCGAUGAGUAGGGCGGGACACGUGGUAUCCUGUCUGAAUAUGGGGGGACCAUCCUCCAAGGCUAAAUACUCCUGACUGACCGAUAGUGAACCAGUACCGUGAGGGAAAGGCGAAAAGAACCCCGGCGAGGGGAGUGAAAAAGAACCUGAAACCGU